rnacentral:rRNA from 1 species
UGGGGAAUAUUGCACAAUGGGGGAAACUCUGAUGCAGCGACGCCGCGUGAGUGAAGAAGGUCUUCGGAUCGUAAAACUCUGUCCUUGGUGACGAAAAAAAUGACGGUAGCUAAGGAGGAAGCCCCGGCUAACUACGUGCCAGCAGCCGCGGUAAUACGUAGGGGGCGAGCGUUGUCCGGAUUUACUGGGCGUAAAGGGUGAGUAGGCGGUAAUAUGUGUCAGAUGUAAAAGGCUAUGGCUUAACCAUAGUUAGCAUUUGAAACUGUAUUACUUGAUUGCAGGAGAGGUAAGUGGAAUUCCUAGUGUAGCGGUGAAAUGCGUAGAUAUUAGGAGGAACACCAGUGGCGAAGGCGACUUACUGGACUGUAACUGACGCUGAGUCACGAAAGCGUGGGUAGCAAACA